rnacentral:rRNA from 1 species
GUGCCAGCAGCCUGCGGUAAUUCCAGCUCCAAUAGCGUAUAUUAAAGUUGUUGUGGUUAAAAAGCUCGUAGUUGAACCUUGGGCCUGGCUGGCCGGUCCGCCUCACCGCGUGCACUGGUCCGGCCGGGCCUUUCCCUCUGUGGAACCCCAUACCCUUCACUGGGCGUGGCGGGGAAACAGGACAUUUACUUUGAAAAAAUUAGAGUGCUCCAGGCAGGCCUAUGCUCGAAUACAUUAGCAUGGAAUAAUAAAAUAGGACGCGCGGUUCUAUUUUGUUGGUUUAUAGGACCGCCGUAAUGAUUAAUAGGGACAGUCGGGGGCAUCAGUAUUCAACUGUCAGAGGUGAAGUUCUUGGAUCAGUUGAAGACUAACUACUGCGAAAGCAUUUGCCAAGGAUGUUUUCAUUAAUCAGGAACGAAAGUUAGGGGAUCGAAGACGAUCAGAUACCGUCGUAGUCUUAACCAUAAACUAUGCCGACUAGGGAUCGGACGGUGUUAUUCAUGACCCGUUCGGCACCUUACGAGAAAUCAAAGUGCUUGGGCUCCAGGGGGAGUAUGGUCGCAAGGCUGAAACUUAAAGAAAUUGACGGAAGGGCACCACCAGGGGUGGAGCCUGCGGCUUAAUUUGACUCAACACGGGGAAACUCACCAGGUCCAGACACAAUAAGGAUUGACAGAUUGAGAGCUCUUUCUUGAUUUUGUGGGUGUGAUGCAUGGCCGUUCUAGCUGGUGGGGUGACUUGUCUGCUUAUUGCGAUAACGAACGAGACCUUAACCUGCUAAAUAGGCCCGCAUUGCUCCGGC